AGUAACGGCGAGUGAAGCGGCAACAGCUCAAAUUUGAAAUCUGGCCCCAGGCCCGAGUUGUAAUUUGUAGAGGAUGCUUUUGGCGCGGUGCCUUCCGAGUUCCCUGGAACGGGACGCCAUAGAGGGUGAGAGCCCCGUACGGUCGGACACCUAGCCUCUGUAAAGCUCCUUCGACGAGUCGAGUAGUUUGGGAAUGCUGCUCAAAAUGGGAGGUAUAUUUCUUCUAAAGCUAAAUACCGGCCAGAGACCGAUAGCGCACAAGUAGAGUGAUCGAAAGAUGAAAAGCACUUUGAAAAGAGGGUUAAACAGCACGUGAAAUUGUUAAAAGGGAAGCGCUUGUGACCAGACUUGCGCCCGGCGAAUCAUCCAGCGUUCUCGCUGGUGCACUUCGCCGGCUCAGGCCAGCAUCAGCUCGCUGUCGGGGACAAAAGCUUCGGGAACGUAGCUCCUCUCGGGGAGUGUUAUAGCCCGUUGCAUAAUACCCUUCGGCGGGCUGAGGUACGCGCUCCGCAAGGAUGCUGGCAUAAUGGUCAUCAGCGACCCGUCUUGAAACACGGACCAAGGAGUCAACCUUAUGUGCGAGUGUUUGGGUGUUAAACCCCUACGCGUAAUGAAAGUGAACGUAGGUGAGAGCUUCGGCGCAUCAUCGACCGAUCCUGAUGUUCUCGGAUGGAUUUGAGUAAGAGCAUAUAGGGUUGGACCCGAAAGAAGAUGAACUAUGCGUGUAUAGGGUGAAGCCAGAGGAAACUCUGGUGGAGGCUCGCAGCGGUUCUGACGUGCAAAUCGAUCGUCAAAUAA
rnacentral:rRNA from 1 species